GUCAGAUGACACCUGCCAGUUGGACAUGUACACCUUACAGUCCUUCCAUACACCGAAUAUACUAGACCUAUUGCUUAUAGUAUCUGAGAUAUGGACUUGACCACCAAAACUUAACCUUGUUCAUUGAUCCAUGAAAUGAGGUCGAGGUCAAGUGAAAACUGUCUGACGGGCAUGAGGACCUUGCAAGGUACGCACAUACCAAAUAUAGUUGAACUAUUGCACAUAGUAUUAGAAAAAAAGACCAAAACUCAAAAACUUAACUUUGACCACUGAACCAUGAAAAUGAGGUCAAGGUCAGAUGACACCUGCCCGCUAGACAUGUACACCUUACAAUCAUUCCAUACACCAAAUAUAGUAGACCUAUGGCAUACAGUAUAAGAAAAAAAGACCAAAA